GUUUGGUGUGAAAGCUCGGAGCUUAACUCCGAAAUGGCACUGAAUACUAUUUGGCUGGAGGGUCGGAGGGGAGACUGGAAUUCUCGGUGUAGCAGUGAAAUGCGUAGAUAUCGAGAGGAACACCAGUGGCGAAGGCGAGUCUCUGGACGACUCCUGACACUGAGGCACGAAAGCCAGGGGAGCAAACAGG
rnacentral:rRNA from 1 species